AGAUAAAGUGCCAAUGGAAGUAAACAAGAGUGGUAAAAAGAGAAGAAAAAAAGAAUCAAGGCGUAAAGUUGAUUGUCCUAAGUGUGGAGAGUCAGUUGCUCAAUUAAAAAGACACUUAAAAUCGAGAAAACAUAAUUGGGAUAAUAUUAAGGCAUCAAAUUCACGUUUAGA
rnacentral:lncRNA from 1 species